rnacentral:rRNA from 1 species
CAGGUGCUGCAUGGCUGUCGUCAGCUCGUGUUGUGAAAUGUUGGGUUAAGUCCCGUAACGAGCGCAACCCUUGUCCUUAUUUGCCAGCGAGUAAUGUCGGGAACUCUAAGGAGACUGCCGGUGACAAACCGGAGGAAGGUGGGGACGACGUCAAGUCAUCAUGGCCCUUACGGGUAGGGCUACACACGUGCUACAAUGGCCGGUACAAAGGGCUGCGAGCUCGCGAGAGUCAGCAAAUCCCUUAAAACCGGUCUCAGUCCGGAUCGGAGUCUGCAACUCGACUCCGUGAAGUCGGAAUCGCUAGUAAUCGUGAAUCAGAAUGUCACGGUGAAUACGUUCCCGGGCCUU